AUAGACGAGUAUGAAUGUGGUGCACGUUUUAUUUAUUUCGUGACUAGAUACAUACUCGUCUACG
rnacentral:pre_miRNA from 1 species